AUUGAACGCUGGCGGCGUGCCUAACACAUGCAAGUCGAGCGGUAACAGGUGUAGCAAUACAUGCUGACGAGCGGCGAACGGGUGAGUAAUGCUUUGGAAUCUUCCCAGUAGUGGGGAAUAACCAGUCGAAAGAUUGGCUAAUACCGCAUACGUCUGUAAAGGGAAAGCGGGGGACUCGCCUCUUCUUCGGAAGAGAGGCCUCGCGCUAUUGGAUGAGCCAAAGCGGAUUAGCUAGUUGGUGGGGUAAUGGCCUACCAAGGCGACAAUCCGUAGCUGGUCUGA
rnacentral:rRNA from 1 species